rnacentral:lncRNA from 1 species
GGGGAGUCCAAAGCAGCCGAUCUCCCUUCCCUGCCUCUCUCGGUGGCUUUGGGCAGCGUUACCCCACCGGUGUUGCGUAGGGUCGGGGGAUUGCACGGGGAACCCCUGCCCGGUGCGUUGGUGCUGCAGAUGGCGGUGGUGUCGCCGACGCUGCGGGUGUCCCCGAGGCGUUCUCACCUCCUGGUGGCAGUGCCAGCCCGGCCCGAGGCGGGGUGCGGCAGUGGUUCUGCCCUACAGGCCGUCCCCGUGAAAAGCACCUUAGGAUCAGCCUGAAGUGAAGGCGCAUCCUCGGCGGGCCGGGAUGAGUCACGGCGGCGGCAGCAGCGCUGGAAGAGCAUCAGCACACGAUCCCCCCCGAGGCUCCGCGGCUCCGCAUCGCCCUCCGCCAGCGGUUCCGCUCCGCACGCACGCAGCUCUCUGCCCUCGGGAAAUGCCACGUCCUCCUGCCAGGUGGAGGAGCAGCGAGGUGGGCGCCGGCCCAGCAGGAGAGAAGAAAAGGGGCCAUCACAAGCUGCAGAGAUGGGCACAGUGCUGCUGUCCCCCCCCACCCCCACCCCCAUCCCCCAAGAGGUGUGAAUCCCAUUUGCUGACAGAGCGGCACAGGGAUGGGGAACGGCUGUGGGGAUGGACUGGGGAGGGGUGGGGGGGGGGGAAAGAAGGGGAUGCUGUGUGGAAAUGACGCCUAUGAGCUCCAGCUGGAGGACACCUCCUUGGGAGGACGAGGAGCAUCGCUGCAUUGGGAUCA